rnacentral:rRNA from 1 species
GAUGAACGCUGGCGGCGUGCCUAAUACAUGCAAGUCGAGCGAACAGACGAGGAGCUUGCUCCUCUGACGUUAGCGGCGGACGGGUGAGUAACACGUGGAUAACCUACCUAUAAGACUGGGAUAACUUCGGGAAACCGGAGCCAAUACCGGAUAAUAUAUUGAACCGCAUUGUUCAAUAGUGAAAGACGGUUUUGCUGUCACUUAUAGAUGGAUCCGCGCCGCAUUAGCUAGUUGGUAAGGUAACGGCUUACCAAGGCGACGAUGCGUAGCCGACCUGAGAGGGUGAUCGGCCACACUGGAACUGAGACACGGUCCAGACUCCUACGGGAGGCAGCAGUAGGGAAUCUUCCGCAAUGGGCGAAAGCCUGACGGAGCAACGCCGCGUGAGUGAUGAAGGUCUUCGGAUCGUAAAACUCUGUUAUUAGGGAAGAACAAAUGUGUAAGUAACUAUGCACGUCUUGACGGUACCUAAUCAGAAAGCCACGGCUAACUACGUG